rnacentral:rRNA from 1 species
GAUAGCGAACAAGUAGAGUGAUCGAAAGAUGAAAAGCACUUUGAAAAGAGAGUUAAAAAGUACGUGAAAUUGUUGAAAGGGAAGCGUUUAUGACCAGACUUGGGCUUGGUUAAUCAUCUGGGGUUCUCUCCAGUGCACUUUUCCAGUCCAGGCCAGCAUCAGUUUUCGCCGGGGGAUAAAGGCUUCGGGAAUGUGGCUCCCCUCGGGGAGUGUUAUAGCCCGUUGUGUAAUACCCUGGUGGGGACUGAGGUUCGCGCUUCUGCAAGGAUGCUGGCGUAAUGGUCAUCAACGGCCCGUCU